rnacentral:rRNA from 1 species
AAAUCUUGACAUCCUUUGACAACUCUAGAGAUAGAGCCUUCCCCUUCGGGGGACAAAGUGACAGGUGGUGCAUGGUU